UAGGGAAUCUUCGGCAAUGGACGAAAGUCUGACCGAGCAACGCCGCGUGAGUGAAGAAGGUUUUCGGAUCGUAAAACUCUGUUGUUAGAGAAGAACAAGGACGUUAGUAACUGAACGUCCCCUGACGGUAUCUAACCAGAAAGCCACGGCUAACUACGUGCCAGCAGCCGCGGUAAUACGUAGGUGGCAAGCGUUGUCCGGAUUUAUUGGGCGUAAAGCGAGCGCAGGCGGUUUCUUAAGUCUGAUGUGAAAGCCCCCGGCUCAACCGGGGAGGGUCAUUGGAAACUGGGCGUCUUGAGUGCAGACGAGGAGAGUUGAAUUCCAUGUGUAGCGGUGAAAUGCGUAGAUAUAUGGAGGAACACCAGUGGCGAAGGCGGCUCUCUGGUCUGUAACUGACGCUGAGGCUCGAAAGCGUGGGGAGCAAACAGG
rnacentral:rRNA from 1 species